CUUGCAUUAAUGACAUGCAAAUAUUCUUUAAAUAUUCUUCAUACUCAUUGUAAUAUCACACAUCAUCUUAUAACACAGAACAUGAAUGUAGCAGAUAUCCAGCAGACAUGCCAAUACAAAAAUCAUAUUCAUGGACAGGCAAUUAACUCAAUCCAAAAUAAAUUAAUAAAUGUAAUGUAGGUUCCCAUGUUUGUGCAUUAUGCAUGUCUGCAAACUAUGCAAGCAGUACUACUUUAAGAUUAGAUCAGAGAACCUGCCAACUGGACAGGAUAGUUGAAUUUUGGCAAAAAGUCCAUUAUUGCAACAGAAUUUUGGAAAUCAGCUAAAACUUACAAAAACAGCCUCCCCCCUUUUUUUUCUUUCUUAAGACUACAAC